AUUGUCAACUACCUGAAUUUUUUGGUAGAUGCAUCGUAUGGUUCCUGGAUUGCCUUUUGUGGUUAACUGAUGUGUUUGGCAAACAGAUCAUUUAAACACCAUCAUUUCAUUGUGGAAUGGGAAUGGAACUCGUGCAAAUGAAGAAGUAGCCUAGCAGCAAACAUGCCAAUGUGGUACACUUGUGUGAGACUGAGCAAGAAAGCUGGUUGUUGAACCAAAAAUCAGGCUGGUCUGCUUAUUAGGAUUAGAGAUAUGUUUAAGGAUGAAAGUGGUUAUUGAAGGAGGGAAUUCUUGGCUGUUACAAAUGAUGUGGAGAUUUUCUUGGCCUUUGGAAAGUGCAUUCUUGCUUCAAAGCCGAGCUCUAUUUUGAAUGAGUUAAGAUAGCUUGAAUUUUGUUAAAGAAAGAACCAAGCUAUAAACUGGGCAUGCAGCUUAAGGGAGGGGAAAGGAGUGGAUGAUCAGGAGGGACCCCUGAACUAGUGUUGAUCUACAUGACAGUCCAUAAAUGUGAGUGAGCUGCAUCAUUCUUCCAUGAAGCUUUCCUCUCCUCCCACUCAUAACAGUAAAGGCAAAAUGAACAAUGCGAAAGUUAACUUCUUGGUCAGUUAUCAUUUGCAAAAUAUCAAAAGUUGAUAAUACAAGGAAUUCUAAGUGGACUUGCUCAUGUGUGGUGGAUGUAGGUUGUUUGUAGCUCACCUGCCAACUUACGGUAUAUGUUAUAGACCCGGGCAUUCAUCUGGUGGGGAACACUAUCAUCAAGACCUAACACAAACAUUAUUCUGGUUGACUCAUCGGAUAAGAUGUGCAUGUACAUUGAAUAUGGACCAUUGGUCAUUUUUUCCAAUGGUCCAUUUUUUUCUCAUACAAGUGUGGCCCACCUAUUGAGUAGACUAGUAUGAUUUUUGGGCUUGAGCAUUAGCAUAGUGUGCCUUCACCUGUCAUGCUCUGCUUCUUGUGCACCUAAAGCAGUGUUUGUGUAAUUGUAUUCAUUGCAUGGGCUGUUUAUGAAACAUAAUACAGAUACAUGUUUGCUAGGUGUUUCUAUAUCAAGCUGAGCAAGCCUUUCAUCAGAAAAUGAGAAAGGAAACAUGCAUGGAACUCAGCAGAGAACAUUUUUCCUGUAAACUAAAAAAGUAACAAGAAGUUGAUCACUCCUUUGUUAUAUUUAUGCCAAAGAAAAAAUAAAAUGGACAAGGUUCCCCUGUUUUGAGUGCAAGAAGCACACUCGCACCCUUGGUACAAUCAUGCUUCUCCUUGUCUUUUCUAAUUCAUGUCUAAGAUGUCUAUGACAAAAAUUGGCAUUCUUUUCAUGUAUUUUUCUUUAUUAUGAGGUUACUUAGUUUCCCAAAAUGUGUUUUGGUUGAAUUUGACUGAUGAAUUAUGGGGCAUUGUAUAUGCAGCCGAUGAUAGGCAAAAACUAUGACAUGAUGUUUGUGAUCUACAUCAGGCAUCCACCUCUCUGUUCUAAUAUUAAAGGAAUGGGCCAAAAGAGGGAAGCAAUGAUUGACUGUGGACAGCCAGCAUCCCCAUGAUGGAGAAUGACCAUAUAAAGAUCUUUCUACAUUGAAGAAAACUCUCUUGAGUUGUCUUGGUGUUGAUAUAUCAUCAUGCAGGAACUGGACACAUAGAAUUCCUAAGAUAAGAAGCAACAAUAGCUGGUGAAUGCCAACACUGAGGAUAGAAGCAUCUAUGAACAAGCUUGUCUUCUUUCAGUGAUUUGAGUAGUCCUUAAAAGAUAUUCAGGGAUUAAGUACCCAAGAAAGUGCAAAACGGAAUGACGAAAUUCUGAAAAUAAGAUCAAGAUUGUGCUUUGUUGACCAUCAGGAGUAUACGUGUGUUGAAAUCAUUCAGAAGGCAGGAUCACAAGAUUAAUGUAAGACAUGAAACACAUAAAUGCAUCCACAAGGACUAACUUCUUCAAAUGAUUUGCGAAAUCGGUUACAGCUUUUGCAAGAAAUGGUCACAGAUGAGAAGUAUAGAUUGAGCUGUUGAACCAUCUCAGGAAAUGUCAAUAGUGCAGCCCAAUUCAGAGUAAUGGAAGAAUCUCCGAUGAAAUCUCUUUAUUCGCAUUGAGAACACUAGGUAAUUCUGCUUUCUUUGUUUUCAAGAUCUGUAUGCUAUAGCUCGCACUGGGACAAAGGCUAAAAAGAUUAUGAUGAUAAUAUAUUUGUGAACCUUUGCAUCUCCUUGUAUUAGAU